CUUGGUCAUUUAGAGGAAGUAAAAGUCGUAACAAGGUUUCCGUAGGUGAACCUGCGGAAGGAUCAUUAAUGAAUUAAAGUCGGUCUUCUGUGCUGGUGGUGACACAUGUGCACGUUGAUCGCAAAUCCACACACCUGUGCACCUUUGACUUUAGGAUCCGCUUGUUGGCUUGUCUGACUUGCAGCUGAUGUUGGUUUUGUGCUCAUCUGGAUCUUAGAGUAAUUUUACACACUCUGAAUGUAAUGGAAUGUUCCUGUGCAUAAUGCGCAAAAUACAACUUUCAACAACGGAUCUCUUGGCUCUCGCAUCGAUGAAGAACGCAGCGAAAUGUGAUAAGUAAUGUGAAUUGCAGAAUUCAGUGAAUCAUCGAAUCUUUGAACGCACCUUGCACCCUUUGGUAUUCCAAAGGGUACACCCGUUUGAGUGUCAUUGUAAUCUCACUUCAUCAGCUUUGUUGAUGGAGGUGGACUUGGACUCUGUUGUGUCAUUACAACUGGUCUGAAAUGUGUGAGUGCACCCUGCUGUUGCAGCGUCCUCAGUGUGAUAAGCAUCUUCACUGAAUCAAGUUCCUUUGGGACACGUGUGUAAUGUGGGCUCUGUGCUGGCAAACUGUCUUUGGACAAUCUUGACAAUUUGACCUCAGAUCGGGUGGGACUACCCGCUGAACUUAAGCAUAUCAAUAAGCGGAGGA
rnacentral:rRNA from 1 species